AAAUCUGAGGUUUUCUUUUAUCUUUGUAUCCAACCAUUAAUGGUAAUGAAAAUUAGUUAAAAUGAGUAUUUGGCAUCAAGAUUGGAUAUCAAAAUUGGAAUUUACUCAAUCACCGCAGUGAUGUAUGUGAUCCAUGACAUUCCAUUUGACAUUUCUUCUCAUGAUACAACAGUCUUUGUCAUUUUAAUGUAGAUCUGUCUAGAUAAACAUUUGCUGAGCCUCUUUCUCAAAACUUGGUGGUUAAAUAUCAACUGAGCCUUUCUGGUUAGUUUACCAAAUGAUUUUUUUAAUGAAUAUUUCCCUUUCUUAAGAAAACAGACCCCUAAAAAAGGGUACAAUUUCUCAAUCCUGGAGAAACUAAACCAGAUUGUAUACCCAGGUCACACAGUCAGUAGUGUUGAAGUUCCCUUGAUGGAAAAGUACAGCCACACAUACUUGUAAAAAGAAAACAAUAAAAAAAUGACUAGGACCUUUUGAUGCUAUACGGUUUAGGAAAAAUGUUCAAUAGUGGGAUGAUAAUGAAAAUAUUCAUUUCUUCUAAAUAGUGAAUGAAAUAAUUUAUGCUGAAUAUUAAUUUUGGGUCAUUUUCAUAAGAAAUUAAUGAUGUGAAUUUGUGGUGUUUCUUUCCCUUUUGUCACAAUUAAGAUCAUGCAGAAUUUUUUGCUGGGAAAAAAUCUUUAUGAAUAAUGUAAUGGUUUAUAUAAGCUUAGGAUUGACAUCAAAGACAAUAUUUAAUAAAUACAUGCCACAGGGCACAGCCCCAAAGCAAUUACUCUGCUAUUUUUGUAACAUACAAACCAGCUAUCUCUGUUUCCAAGCUACUAAAAAAAUAUGUUAGCAAAUUGAUCUAAUUUUGGUAUCCAUAUGGUGACUUAUUAAAAUCAAUGUUUGAGCAAGAACUGGCUAGAAUAUUUAACAUUCAUGAAGUGUGGAUCGUUCUACUAUUUAGGUAUUUUAGACUAUCCGGCUGUUGACUGAUACUGAAUAUGAUCUCCAAGUCUAGUCAAUCACUAAAUGCUUACUGAGUUCUUGCUACCUCCAAAACACAAAUAAAGGACAUGCAAUAUCUUCUG
rnacentral:lncRNA from 1 species